GACGAACGCUGGCGGCGUGCUUAACACAUGCGAGUCGAACGGAAAGGCCCUGCUUUUGUGGGGUGCUCGAGUGGCGAACGGGUGAGUAACACGUGAGUAACCUGCCCUUGACUUUGGGAUAACUUCAGGAAACUGGGGCUAAUACCGGAUAGGAGCUCCUGCUGCAUGGUGGGGGUUGGAAAGUUUCGGCGGUUGGGAUGGACUCGCGGCUUAUCAGCUUGUUGGUGGGGUAGUGGCUUACCAAGGCUUUGACGGGUAGCCGGCCUGAGAGGGUGACCGGCCACAUUGGGACUGAGAUACGGCCCAGACUCCUACGGGAGGCAGCAGUGGGGAAUAUUGCACAAUGGGCGGAAGCCUGAUGCAGCAACGCCGCGUGCGGGAUGACGGCCUUCGGGUUGUAAACCGCUUUCGCCUGUGACGAAGCGUGAGUGACGGUAAUGGGUAAAGAAGCACCGGCUAACUACGUG
rnacentral:rRNA from 1 species